rnacentral:lncRNA from 1 species
GUUCACUUUGAUGCCAUCUCUUGCCAACAAUUUGGCGUUCAAAAACGUCGCCGCACUUGUGGCACGGCCAAAGUUUGGGUCUGGCUAUCUCUAGAAAUGAAAGAAACAAGACCAAAAACGGAUCUAGCUACAAGGGUACACUAGCACAAAAACGCAAAAUUUCAGAAGCAUGAUAUCUAGCCGUCUCUAUGAAGUUUUGAUAACCGUCUGAAAAUUGCUUUCCUGCAGUAGUAGUAGUCUUUAAAUUCGACUAAGUUUAGUGUCCACAGUUAAGCACAAUUAUUAUAUAAUACUAUGAAAUUAAAUUUCAUGAAUAAUCUAACAAUACUUAUUUGAUAUCAUAUAGAUCUUAAUAAUUUAUUAUAAAAAUCGGCUAAGUUAAAGGUAGUUUGACUUAAAACUGCAGCUAUAAGUGAACACUUUUUAGGACAUAAGUACCGAUUGUUUCCCUAAAUUUCAGCACUAUCGUGUCAACAAGAAAGUAUGUUUCUUGCAGUGAAAAAAAGGAAAAAAAAUUAAAAAUGAGUCGAUGAUUGGAUAAAAUCAUAUAAAUAUGAUCUAAUGUGUAUAAAAUUAUUUCAGGUGAAUAAUAUAGGUUUUUGAUGCGUAUUAAAAGUGAAACAUUUCAUGUGUGUGUAUACACACGUGUUGAAUGCGAUUAUAUUGUUGUCAUGUUUAUAUCUCAGCCCUGUCGUUUUAGUUUGGCUCUCUGGGGCCCGGCUCUAGAAAGCUCAGGAAUCGAGAUGCUGAAAACAUCUCGGGGAGAUCAAGAAAUUAUUAUCCAAAAUAAUGGAGGGCUGCUUCUGGUGCCAUCGUCCAUCGUCGACAACAACGGAGCCUCGUCUUAGCCAAUGGGAACGAGAAAAACAAGCACACCGAUCGUUUUCUUCCUCUGCAUCAUGAACGAUCGUGUCUGUGUGUCAUCUAUCCCCGUCACAGCAGCACUUUCUGACGAACGACGAGGAGUUGCAGCAGCUAUCGGAGAUACUAGCAGAGUACAGUGCAUGUAGCAGCGGC